UACGUAGGGGGCGAGCGUUGUCCGGAUUUAUUGGGCGUAAAGAGCGUGUAGGCGGCCAGGUAGGUCUGCUGUGAAAACUCGAGGCUCAACCUCGAGACGUCGGCGGAAACCAUCUGGCUAGAGUCCGGAAGAGGAGAGUGGAAUUCCUGGUGUAGCGGUGAAAUGCGCAGAUAUCGGGGAAGAACACCCGUGGCGAAGGCGGCUCUCUGGGACGGUACUGACGCUGAGACGCGAAAGCGUGGGGAGCGAACAGG
rnacentral:rRNA from 1 species